ensembl:misc_RNA 7SK 7SK RNA
GGAUGUGAGGGCGAUCUGGCUGCGACAUCUGUCACCCCAUUGAUCGCCACGGUUGAUUCGCCUGAUCUGGCUGGCUAGGUGAGUGUCCCCUUCCUCCCUCACUGCUCCAUGUGCGGCCUUCUGGAAGCUGUGUGCUCGGUCAUAGAGGACGACCAUCCCUGCUAGAAGAGGACCAGUCUUCAGUCAAGAGAUGUACGAGUAGCUGUGCUCCCCUGCUAGAACCUCCAAACUCUCAAGGUCCAAUAAAAAUGAAUUUUUUUUUUCUUAAAGAUAUCUUUAUGAGCCUUGAAAGAGAUCAGGCAAAUUUG